rnacentral:rRNA from 1 species
UUGUCUCAAAGAUUAAGCCAUGCAUGUCUAAGUAUAAGCAACUAUACGGUGAAACUGCGAAUGGCUCAUUAAAUCAGUUAUCGUUUAUUUGAUAGUACCUUUUUACUUGGAUAACCGUGGUAAUUCUAGAGCUAAUACAUGCUAAAAACCUCGACUUCGGAAGGGGUGUAUUUAUUAGAUAAAAAACCAAUGCCCUUCGGGGCUCCUUGGUGAAUCAUAAUAACUUUACGAAUCGCAUGGCCUUGCGCCGGCGAUGGUUCAUUCAAAUUUCUGCCCUAUCAACUUUCGAUGGUAGGAUAGUGGCCUACCAUGGUUUCAACGGGUAACGGGGAAUUAGGGUUCGAUUCCGGAGAGGGAGCCUGAGAAACGGCUACCACAUCCAAGGAAGGCAGCAGGCGCGCAAAUUACCCAAUCCCAAUACGGGGAGGUAGUGACAAUAAAUACUGAUACAGGGCUCUUUUGGGUCUUGUAAUUGGAAUGAGUACAAUUUAAAUCCCUUAACGAGGAACAAUUGGAGGGCAAGUCUGGUGCCAGCAGCCGCGGUAAUUCCAGCUCCAAUAGCGUAUAUUAAAGUUGUUGCAGUUAAAAAGCUCGUAGUUGAACCUUGGGCCUGGCUGGCCGGUCCGCCUCACCGCGUGCACUGGUUCGGCCGGGCCUUUCCUUCUGGGGAGCCGCAUGCCCUUCACUGGGUGUGUCGGGGAACCAGGACUUUUACUUUGAAAAAAUUAGAGUGUUCAAAGCAGGCCUAUGC